CACAUGACCAGCUGACACAAAGAAGCCUAAAAUUUUUCCCAGUCCAGUCCCAAACACAUGACAUGGUUCCCAGCAGCCCAGUGCUUCAUCCCUGAGGCAGGGAAGCAGAACUGACUGUGGAAAUCCAUAGAAUGAUUCCUACAUGAUGCAUUUUCCCCCCACUGAAAACCAGAUACCCUUUUCUCUUUCUUGCCUGGUGUUACCACUAAAGCAGUGGCAAAACUUCCUAUAAGCCUACUUGUUUUAUUUGCCUCAGCUCAUUGUGCCAGUUGCCCAUGGACGGAGCAGUGCUCCAAAAGAAGCUGAGCAAUUGCUCCUGGCUGGCUGCAGAGCCCCCACCUUUCCCAUCUGAGCAUCAGGAGCAGCUAUGAAAAACUUCAGCACCAGGCAAGACAAAGGCCUGAAAAGCCAUGGCCGGUAAUAUCAAGUGUGCUGAGGCUGAAAGCUUUGUUCUGAGUCCCAGUGAAGUGUAUUCCUGGAUCUGAGGAAAGCUUCCAUGCUCUGCCUCGUUAACAGACAACAUCAGCAACUAAGGUAACUGCAGCAGUAAAGAGCAUUUCAUCUGCCUGCUCUUUUGGCACCCUAAUGGUCUCCUCAGCAACAAGGCUGUUGAGUGCAGAAGCGUUGACAGCUGGGGGUAUGUGGACACCAAGACUAGGCUGUGAGACAGGAAGAAACAAUACAGGUAAAGACUGGACAUGAAGGUCAACUGCUUCUCACACAGGGCCCAUCCUGGAAGUUCUCUGCCGGCCCAGAUAGCCCUCCACAGCCCCCACUCCCUUGCUGUCUCUUCACAGCACAGCCAUUUUACUUGGCACAGGGCAAAGCAUGAGUUCAGCCACCUUCUCUCCACCAGCUCCACACUUUUGCAGGAGGGCAGACUGGUCCAGGCUGCUUUUCCUUUUUGCAAAAUACUGCCAUCUUCCAGUUUGAAGUAAUCCUACUGAGAUUCUCUUUCCUCUAUUUGUAUGUAUGUAUGUAUCACAACAGCUAACUAGAGCUAGAAGUUUGGAUUUCUAUGGUGUGGGAGUCCAGAUCAAAAGGUGAAGUAGCAGUUCCCGUGUGCUGUGCUGUGUAUGGGGUCUGGAACACACUUAAAAGAAAGAGGAAAGAGCUGCUUUGAAAAAGAAGACCGUUUGGCUGAGGACUCUGAAAAGGCUGACAGGGUUUUAUUGGUCUAAAAUACAAAAAGCUCAGAUUGUCUCCCACCCCCUCGGCAUUCUUCUCAUCCAGAGUAUUGUAAUGAAGUAUCAGCAUUCACAGUGAUAGCUCCAGCCAAACCACAAGACUAUUAAUCCCAGCCUUGGCCUCCAAGCACUUCAUGGAUGAACUUAUCUAAAAGCCAUGCAUAUUGCUGGUAUCUCAGCUUUGAGCAUGAAGUUCACUUAGCCUCUUUGUGGACAAGAGGUAUUAGAGAACAUGCUGACCUGAAAGUCUCUGAAGAAUGCUCCAAACUGUGGCUGUUGCAUGGUUAAGCUGUAUCCUAAAGAAUGAACACUUCCAAAUCAGUGAUUCCCAAGCUGUUGGAUGGGUAUUGCUACCAGCACACCGUGUCAUUUAGGUGUGGUACACAGAUGGGAACUCGGAAUUGCUAUCGAGCAUGUUCUUGUCACUCCUGCUGUUGGCACCCUACCAGCAAGAUUUCAUGGAUUCCUGCUCCAAACCAAAGGUAUUUAAAUCUUCAAUACUAACCACAGUGGGGCAGAAGCUAGAGAGCAGAAAGAGCAAUUCCCUGCAUCCUUCAUCGCUGCAUCACUUCAGACUCCCAGCAGAGGUCAGAGCUCGUUUCUCACACUGUACUUAAGCUCCCGGAGCAGCAAAUCUCCGUGAUAAAAAGCACACAGUGUGGGUCAGCUGUAGGUUUGGUGCUGCUGAGGUAGCUGUAAAUUCACUUCUAUCCCAGCCCAAUAAUACAGCUGAAUACACAACAGCUCCUGUCACAACUGGACCUCUUGUCUGAGACUGCCAGUGACAGGAAACACAAAAGUCAGUUAUGGUGGAUUGUUUUUUGCAAGAUGCAGAUGUUUGCCUAAAUCUGUGCUAGGAUUAAGCCACCCCCAAACCUUAUUUUUGCAUCAGGGCAGCUCUGACCUGCUAGUUGCUUACCUGGGUAUUCUUUGCAAGUGUUUCACUGUAGUAUUUACGCACUAACUCCGAAUAGUGAUUUAAGAACUGGGGCCACUGAU